GACCUUCGGGGAGCCUAUACAGGUGUUGCAUGGCUGUCGUCAGCUCGUGUCGUGAGAUGUUCGGUUAAGUCCGCUAACGAGCGCAACCCUCGUCGUAUGUUAUAUGUGUCAUACGAGACUGCCGGUAAAAAGCCGGAGGAAGGUGAGGAUGAUGUCAAGUCAGCAUGACCUUUAUAUCCAGGGCUACACACACGCUACAAUGGUCUGUACAAUGGGUAGCCAAGCCGCGAGGCGGAGCCAAUCCUGAAAGCAGGCCUCAGUUCAGAUUGCAGUCUGCAACUCGACUGCAUGAAGCCGGAGUUGCUAGUAACCGCAGGUCAGCAAUACUGCGGUGAAUACGUUCCCGGGUCUU
rnacentral:rRNA from 1 species